rnacentral:tRNA from 1 species
AGUUAGGUGGCCGAGAUAUAGGCAUUAAAUUGUAAAUUUAAAUACGGGGUCUUCCCUCUGACUA